CCCCUGGCACACUGAAUUGUUAAAAGACGUGGUCCCGUUCUCAUCUGCCAGACCUCAACGAUUCCUUUCCUAGGCGCAUGAAUUGCUAGACAGAGGCAAUAAUCACUCUUUGAUGGUUCAUAAUAAGAGGUGCUAGCCUCUGCAUUGUCCCUUUUCACAAGCAUCUCCAUAAAGAAACAGCAAGCAUCACGAUAUCCCUUCCAUAGUCGCACAACCACAAGUGCUUGAGUAUCUAAGAGCAAUAUACGACCAAGUGAAUCUGUUAUCGCAGCCAAUGUUCCACUUGGUGAUAGUGUAAGCUUUUCACCUUUCCUUGGGUGAUCCUUUAUACAUGUCAAGGGAGAAGCUUUAGCAAAUGACUGAGGCUUUGCUUCUGACUUUUUGGUUGAUGUUUGCUCACUUCGCCAUAUCAUUUUGGAGAAAGAAGCUAUUGUUGAGAAUGUAGCAGGCACAACUUUUGAAAGAAUAGCUCCCACAAGAGACUUGCUUCUGUUUUCUGAAAGUCUGUAAGCUGAAAUUACAGCGUCUUCUCCAAUAGUGAUUCCACAGUAGUAUUGUUGACUUGACUGGAUCUCCAUAAGUGGAGGGGGCAUUAUGCCGGUGAUAGCUGCAUCAGCACACGACCCAUAUUUGUUAACAUUCCACAACUGGUAAGGUAAUCUCUUGUGUGUAUUUUCUAAAGCAUCUGAAUCUCUCUUCUUGGGCUUUUCAUCCCAAAACUGAGAAUGAGUUUCUUGAAACCAUU
rnacentral:misc_RNA from 1 species